rnacentral:snRNA from 1 species
UAGUGCUUGCCUAAAAUUGGAACGACACAGAGAAGAUUAGCAUGGCCUCUGCACAAGGGUGACACACUAAUUUGUGAAAUGUUCCACAGAUUU